UGGGGAAUUUUGGACAAUGGGCGCAAGCCUGAUCCAGCAAUGCCGCGUGCAGGAUGAAGGCCUUCGGGUUGUAAACUGCUUUUGUACGGAGCGAAAAGGUCUGCCCUAAUACGGUGGGCUCAUGACGGUACCGUAAGAAUAAGCACCGGCUAACUACGUGCCAGCAGCCGCGGUAAUACGUAGGGUGCGAGCGUUAAUCGGAAUUACUGGGCGUAAAGCGUGCGCAGGCGGUGAUGUAAGACAGAUGUGAAAUCCCCGGGCUCAACCUGGGAACUGCGUUUGUGACUGCAUCACUCGAGUACGGCAGAGGGAGGUGGAAUUCCGCGUGUAGCAGUGAAAUGCGUAGAUAUGCGGAGGAACACCGAUGGCGAAGGCAAUCCCCUAGACCUGUACUGACUCUCAUGCACGAAAGCGUGGGGAGCAAACA
rnacentral:rRNA from 1 species